rnacentral:misc_RNA from 1 species
UGAUGAAGAUGGGGAGAAGUUUUUGGUGGGUAUCCCUUGAAUGACGUAUUGAUAAGGAAGUGAAAAUUUAUUUUAUAGAAUUUAUUUGGAAAAUUUAUUUUACAAAAUAGAAUUUAAAAAUUUUUAUAAGAUUACUAAAUUUUAAAAAUAUAAAUUACUGAUAGAAGUUUAUAUUUUUAAAAUAUCUGAAUAUCUCAACCAUGAUGUUAAUUUGAAUCUUGACUAGUCACACGCGUUGGCUAUCAUUAGGACAGAAUUAAACUAAUCAAAAUUUAAUUGCUCAACUAAUUGGACUCUUAAGAUUAGUUGAUAACUGGAUUGGUAAUUUCCCUGAUAACAUAUUUCAUGUUGCCACUCUUUGAAGAAAAUUCUGAAUUAACUUUAGCCCUUAGGCACUUUAUUUCCCUAAGAAACUUUUUUGUAUUUUAAGAUUCUUUUUCUAAGGAUACUGUGCUUUCUUUUCAGAGUUCAUCUGAGAAAGCUAUAGAAGUUCAGUUAUGUGUAGAAAUAAAGCAACUCUUGAAAGA